UUGACCCAGUCCAUUUGCAAAAGGAUGAAACCUUUUGUCAUUCUCCAUUUUCUUCUAACACAAGAAAAUCAGAAAAACCAAACAUGCCCUAGGCUCUUACGUUCAUCUCUCCAGCUCACGAUGAGCUUUUCUGCAAUCAAAAAGGGCAAAAACGCAGUUGCUUUCUGUUGUUCCAAUACUUGCUUGCCCAUUUUGAGAAAUACUUUAAUGCUCUUUGAUACUUUUCUUUAGCAAGUCUGAUGUUGAAACGAUAACCCUUGACUUUGUUCAAUUUCUUCUGAUUUUCAUUUUUUCUUUCUGAGACGAACCCAAAGAUUUUAUCAGUUUCAAACGAAUUUCAAGUCUUAAAUCCAGCCCCCAUCGAAAAUUUAUGGCAAAACCCUAAUAUUUGGGGUUCUAUAAGUUUUGGGCACCACAAAAAUGGUUUUACACCUAAAAAGAGGUUUUUACACCUCAUGAGCUUGAGACACUCAGUAGCUCGGCAAAAACUUGGAAAAUUAAUCCAACAAUCUUGAGUUUCGAGGACCUUGCUCAAAGUUAAACUUUUGCGUCUCGUUUCCAUUCAUCGGAAGCUAGUUUCGGUGAAAGAGUGAUCAACUCAACUCUUGCCGCCCCCAUCGCUGCUUGACAAAAAAGAUAUGUUUCUUUCAUGAUAUGAUCUGUUGGUUAUUCUCUCUCUGGCAUUUGGUUUUCCCGGCUGAAAGCCAAGGAAAGCUUUGGGUUUGGUUUAGCCCCCCUCUAAUAGUCAGCCAUGCAUAAAGGUUCUAGAAACCUUUUUGAUCUUGUGCGACAUUGGAAUACGGAUGGUGGUAACUCCCUAUAUUGCCUGAAUCUUUUAAGCCUGACAUUCUACGUUACAAGAGUGUUAUGACCAGCUUUUGAGUUCAUCUUUCUUGAGAUGCUAUGUUUCUUUGUGUUUAUUGAAUUCCCUAUUUUGAUGCCUUGCAUGAUGUUUGUGAUCAGUCCUGAUGUUGCCCCCUUUUAGUUAUACCAUAUCUAGUUGAUAUUCCCGUUUCCCUAGAAAAUAUAUCACAUCUGGCUAUUAAAUUCCAUCUUAUCCCUAAUAUCCUAUAUCCCAAUCCUUAUUUUGUUCUGUAACUUCUGGAGAUUUUGGUUUCUUAUAUUGUGAGCUAUUUUGGCGGCCUCAUUCUUGAUUCUCUUGUCAUCUUAAUCCAUUGUAAAAUUUACAUCAAGAUAUGAUACCUUUAUAUAAUAAAGCAUCUUUGUUUGACAUUAUUUUGUUAAAUCCUCUUUGUUUCAAUACUCAUUCUUCACCCCUCCUCCUUUUGCAUGACCUGGGGAGUCUUCAAACCUCCUUGAAUUGCUAUCUUUAGCUGCUACUUGAUGAGAAUGGCCAUAGCCUGAUUUGUUGCUGGUUCUAAGGUCACUACUGCCAGGUCUUUGAUAUGCAAUUGCUGCAUCCUUUAAAAGGUUGGCAUGUUGUUGCUUUGUUGGCAUCUUUGAGGCUGCUGUUAUGUUCAUUGAUUUGAGUUGCUGUCCUACUUAACAUGAUGUCCUAUUUUGUUGCUUUGUUGUGGUUACCUUCUGUGAUUGUUUGUUACUGCAAUAUGGUGUUGAUACUACACUUGGGGUACUGCUGAGUUUAAAAGAAACAGAUGCCAUAUUGAUCUUCCCAGUGCUGCACUUUGGGUGAUUUCCUAACUGCACUUUUGAACUACCACCUUGCUGCUGUGUUUGUUGCUCUGCUGCCGCAUCUAGUUGUAAGUGAUAGUUGCAUUUUAAGGCAAGCAAGAUGUUACGUUGUGAGCCAAAAUGCUGUUGCACUUUAAGGCAACAAAUGCUGCUUUGACUGAAAGAACUGCUAGGCUGUUCACUUUCCCUUAAUAGGGUAGAUGCUUCACAUGAGUUGCAGUUUAAGAACAGUUGCUAAAUUUGCAGAAAAUAGAGACUGAUAUUCCAUUUAAGAUGUUCCUGGAUUUUAAAAGAACAGAUACUACAGUGAUGCUACCCUUUUGAUGACUGAACUGGUUUGAAUAUUAUACUAUGCUCGGGCCAAUAAAAAAAGAUUUUUGAGGCCAUGCCUUGUCCGGAAAGGUUAUCCCUCUGUUUGGGAAAUGAUGAUCUCAUAGUAUAGUAAUAAAGUAGGAUCCAACAUGCGUUUGGCAAGGCGACUAGAACGAUUGACGAGUCACUAGUUCGCAACCACGACAUGUUCCAGAGUCCUUUUCCCUAGAUUAAAAAGAAACAUGAGUCUGAGCCUCCGUAAUCGAAGCUCUCAAGGUUUGAUACGAGUCCAAGGGAUAUUAUUAUUUAUGUUCAUAAACGUCACCCUAGGGUGGUGUGGAGGACCCACAUUAGGGUAGAAGGCUAGUAUAUAAGUCUCGUUAUCUUUCCUUAUUAGUAGGCGCAUUAGCGCAUUAUAAUUUCUUAUGCUUUGAUUUAUGUUAUUAUUUGCUACUUUCUGUACUUUGAUUACUCUAUUUUAUCUGUGCCGCUUUCGUGAUUUGCAUUUCCAUAUCGCUUUGAAUUCCUUGAUUAUCCUGUUUUACUGUGUCGCUUGCAUUAUUUCAUUGCAAUAUCGUUUUAAAUCUUUUAACCUUAUCUGACCCCCUUUUUAUGCUUCUAUUGAGCCGAGGGUCUCUCGGAAACGGCCAUCCUACCUUGGUAGGAGUAAGGUCUGCGUACAUUAUACCCUCCCCAGACCCCAAGAUGUGGGAUUUCACUGGGCUGUUGUUGUUGUUGUAAACGUCACCCUAUGGGGUGGCGUAUCAUUUUGACUGACUACUUUUCUUUCUAUUUAUGUGAGGUACAAAUAAAGUGAAGUAUGUGACGCAAAACUUAAAGAGGAAGUAAAGAAUUGGAUGCCUAAAGCCUUGGAGAGUUGGAGCUUUGGGUGAAGACCUAAAGAGCAUGGAAGACCUAUUCCCUUCAGAUAAGCGACAAAUGGAAUAGGAUUGUCGAAUGAUUUGGGGCCCAAGCUGAAAAAGCUAAACUUUCUUUCCAUUCCUUUUAGUAUAAGUUUAACAUUAUUUUCUGUAUGAAUAUGUAAAAAUGCACUUGUAUGGAUAUUGAAACCUUAUAAGUUAGAACCUAGGAUUUAGUUGGGGGUAGGGACCCAAACUUGUUUCAAAUUAGAUCCGAAAUAUAAGUGAGUUGUAUUCCAUUUGUUAAAAGUAAAUAAAAGUGUAACAAUGUUUUCUUAUGCAAAAACUGGAUUACCUUUGAA